AUCCGAUCAAUGGCUGAGAUUAAAUCCAUCAUUUAUCAUACUUUUAAACAAAAUAACUCAAACCCUAAUUCAUUUUUCACAAAAAUAUACGAACCCUCAUCUCCCUCUCUUCUCCCUCUUCCUCUCUCUCUCUAUCAACGACGACAGAACCCCAACACCGCCAGCCGUCUAUGGAAUCCCAGCGCCGCCAGCCGUCACUGCUCCAGCUUUCUCCGUUAAGCCACCGCCAGCCGUCGCUACUCCAACCGGCAGCCAUCUCCACCAACACUGGCAGCACCACCAGCCAGUGAAGCAACCGUCCACUAGCCAGCCGGCAGCCUCCGUUUAAAGAUAAACUCCGUUAACUCCAUUAAGAUUAAGAUACAAACUGUCGAGAUAUCAAGCUAGUGCUGGUGCGGGAAGGGGGGCAAUGGAGUUGUUCUAAUAUGUUGUAUUUGGUGUUAUGGCUGCUGUGGUGGCAGUUCUUGAGCUGGGUGGCAAGACUAACAAAGAUCAGAUAACAACUUCACAGGCUUUUAAUUCCUUUAAGAACAAUUACAUUCUUGUUUACUCUCUUAUGAUGGGUACGUAUGUUUCUCCUAUCAAAUCUGGGUCUUUUUACAUUUUGAAAUUCUGAUAUGUAUGUGCUCGAUCUGGUUAUUUGAGUGUGGGAUUUUGGAUCUGAUUAAUUGGGCAUUAUGAGUUUGCUCUGCAUUAGUGGUCAGGUUGUGGUAUAAAUGAAAUCUAGCUUCGGAUCCUAACUCAUGUUAUGUUAUCUGAAUACUGAAUAAGCUUCCAAGUGUUGAUAUGCAGCUCAAUUUGCUUAAUGGUCUUUACAUCUAUUUGUUCACCACUGUGUAGGAAUACACUGGGCUUGUUGUUAUUGUUGUAUUUCAUUUAGAGUUCUCCAAUACUGUCUGUAUUCCUUGUGCUGUAUCUUUCUAAAUUGUGGCAUCAAGACCAAAAUUUAGUUUCUUUUCUUUUCUAAAAGAUAAGGUUGAUCUUGCUUAAGGGUUUUAGAAUAUCUAUACCUUGAGUAUACAUAAACUUGUACAAUGUGCUCAAAGUUCAGUCAUGUUGUAGACAUGUAGUAACUUAAAAAUGGAGUUGUGUAUCUUUUAAUUUGUUAAGCUCAUUAUUUUCGAAGAUUAUGUUGUUGGUUACUUUUGUUUAGAAGGUGAUGUUGUUGGUUACUUUAUUUGUUGAAAAUGCUUAAGUGCGGGUGACUUUAAUAGUGAAUUAGUGUUUAGAAGGUAAUGUUGUUGGUGACUUUAUUUGUUGAAAAUGCUUAAGUUUUGGUGACUUUAAUAGUGAAUUAGUUUCGUUGAGGUGAUGUUGUUGCUGACUUUAUUUGUUGAAAAUGCUUAAGUGCCGGUGACUUUAAAAGUGAACUUUUGUUUAGAAGGUGAUCUUGUUGUUUACUUUAUUUGUUGAAAAUGCUUAAGUUUUGGAGACUUUAAUAGUGAAUUAGUGUUUAGGAGAUAAUGUGGUUGGUGACUUUAUUAGUUGAAAAUGCUUAAGUUUUGGUGACUUUAAAAGUGAACUUUUGUUUAGAAGGUGAUGUUGUUGGUUACUUUAUUUGUUGAAAAUGCUUAAGUGCCGGUGACUUUAAUAGUGAACUUUUAUUUAGAAGGUGAUUUUGUUGGUUACUUAAUUUGUUGAAAAUGCUUAAGUGCCGGUGACUUUAAUAGUGAAUUAGUGUUUAGAAGGUGAUGUUGUUGGUGACUUUAUUUGUUGAAAAUGCUUAAGUGCCGGUGACUUUAACAGUGAGUUAGUUUCGUUGGUGCCUUUGUUAGUUGAAAAAUCUUAAGUUUUAGUGACUUUAAUAGUGAACUAGUGUUUAGGAGGUGAUGUUGUUGGUGACUUUAUUUGUUGAAAAUGCUUAAGUGCCGGUGACUUUAAUAGUGAACUUUUGUUUAGAAGGUGAUGUUGUUGGUUAUUUUAUUUGUUGAAAAUGCUUAAGUGCCGGUGACUUUAAUAGUGAACUUUUUUCGUUGGUGCCUUUGUUAGUUGAAAAACUUAAGUUUUGGUGACUUUAAAAGUGAACUUUUGUUUAAAAGGUGUUGUUGUUGGUUACUUUAUUUGUUGAAAAUACUUAAAGUGCCGGUGACUUUAAUAGUGACUCUUAUAAAAUUAAUUUACUAGUUUAACUAAAAAACCGACCACUUGUGGUCAGUUUAUUUUUCCCUAAAAUUAUUUUUUUCAUUUAAAUAAAAUAAUAAUAAAUUUUAAAAAUGAAUAUAUAUAUUUUAAAAAAAAACGACCACGAGUGGUCGAUUUUUAAAAAGCUACCGCUACUUUUCCGACCAAAGAUUUGGGUCGGUUUUGUGGUCGGAAAACGGGAAAAAUCGACCACUUAUGGUCGGUUUUUGUGGUCGAUUUUUUUUUUUAGUAGUGCCUUACCUUGGGGGUAUUUCUAUCUUUUUCUCCUUUGUGUAUCAGUUUGAGUGAUAUGCUUACUUUUCAAGGUUCGCCGCAACAAGUGUCAUCAUGACCCUUAUUUUUCUUGGGCCGUGACAUUCACUGUCAAGGGACUGUGUUUGCGAAGAAGGAUACAUGCACCAGAUAUCAGGUUGUACACUAACUAAUUUUGCAUGGUUUUGAAUUCUCCGAACAAACCUCAAAAUUCAUUCUGGACACGACAGAAGUAAAGCAUAUAUACUACUAGGCUAAUUUCGACGCUCUAGACUCAACGAUGACGUUGAAUUUGUUAAAAAGAAUUAUUUUCACGAAAUUAACCCCCUGGACCCUUUUUUACUAUUUUCAAAUGAGGGAUCGAAAUGAGAUACAAAAUCCCCGAAUUUGAACCAUCUCCGCUAUUAAUUCAAAAUCGAUAUUUUGAAUCUACUGGCGUAGUUCGUUUUGCCAUCUGACACUCAAAGCAACGAAUAUUGAUCGAAAUCAACUAUAUGGAUUCUCAAGCCUCUAAAAAUCACAAACUCGUACAAUUAUCUCUGAUUGCAUCGAGAACCGUGUCAACCAUCUCCGAACCUCAAAAUCAACAUGUAUCGACUACGGAAAAAAGACAAAACGAUCAGAAUACAUAGAAAUGAAAAAUUCACAAAUUCAAAUCUUUACACCCUCCAGUGUUAUCCUAUUUUUUUUUUUAUAUUAUUAAAAAAUUUAUUAUGCAAAUUUUUCAAUUAUAAUAUUUUAGUUCUUUUUUUACUUAAAUCAUUUGAUUUAUAAUAUGAAAUAUAAGUCAUUAGGCUGAUUGCUCGAUUUUCCUGUCUUACUAAGGUUGUACAAAAAUUGGGGUA
rnacentral:lncRNA from 1 species